GUCCUUUCCUGGCAGGGGAGAUACCAUGACCAUGAAGGUGAGGUACCUCCAUUGCAAUGUCCCAAGGUGAGGUUCAUCCAUCGCACUUUGGAUGUGCUGACUCCUGUGAUUUCUCCAAAUGUGGAAAACCAAACUGCAUAAUUUGUGAUAGCUGCAU